rnacentral:rRNA from 1 species
AGAGAGAGACAUGCGCGCAUAUCAAUAAGCGGAGGAAAAGAAACUAACAAGGAUUCCCCUAGUAACGGCGAGUGAAGCGGGAAGAGCUCAAAUUUGAAAUCUUAAAGGGUUUCCCUUUACGAAUUGUAGUUUAAAGAAGUGUUUUCUGUUGAGGUUUUGGUAAAAGUUCUUUGGAAUAGGACAUCAUAGAGGGUGAGAAUCCCGUAUUUGACCUUUACUUUCAACUUUGUGAUACACUUUCAAAGAGUCGGAUUGUUUGGGAAUGCAGUCCAAAAUGGGUGGUAAAUUUCAUCUAAAGCUAAAUAUUGGCGAGAGACCGAUAGCGAACAAGUACCGUGAGGGAAAGAUGAAAAGAACUUUGAAAAGAGAGUUAAACAUGUACGUGAAAUUGUCAAAAGGGAAGCGUUUGACACCAGUGUUGUUUUUCUGAAAAUCAAUUAAAGAACUGUUUAUGCUAAGUUGUUUAGACUUUAUCAGCUAACUGUUUAGUUUUGAGCUUUUCUUUAAUGCACUUUACAGUUAACAAGUCAACAUCAAUUUCUUUUGCUAUAAAAAAGCUUGAGUUAGAAGGUGGCUUGAGAUUCGUCUUAAGUGUUUAUAGCCUCUUGCCUAUGCAGUCGGAGAGAUUGAGGUCUGCAGCGUAGAUCCUUCGGGGCUAAAUGCAUUUGUGCUAAGUUAUAGCAUUUUAUAGACAACUUGUUGACUAUGAUUUGUCUUGUAGCUUACUCGCUUAUGUUAUUUUACCUACGCUUAGGAUGUUGACGCAUGAGAUAUACGC